GACGAACGCUGGCGGCGUGCUUAAAACAUGCAAGUCGAACGGACUUCUCAUGAAGCUUGCGAUUGAGAAGUUAGUGGCGGACGGGUGAGUAACGCGUGGGCAACCUGCCCCUGAGCCCGGGAUAACAGUUCGAAAGGACUGCUAAGACCGGAUAUACUUGCGGGGAAGCAUUUCACUGCAAGGAAAGGGAACGCUCAGGGAUGGGCCCGCGUCCCAUUAGCUAGUUGGUGAGGUAACGACCCACCAAGGCGACGAUGGGUAGCCGGCCUGAGAGAAUGAACGGCCACACUGGGACUGAGACACGGCCCAGACUCCUACGGGAGGCAGCAGUUGGGAAUCUUCGGCAAUGGGCGCAAGCCUGACCGAGCAACGCCGCGUGAGUGAUGAAGGUUUUCGGAUUGUAAAGCUCUGUCUUCCGGGACGAUAAAUGACGGUACCGGAGGAGGAAGCCACGGCUAACUACGUG
rnacentral:rRNA from 1 species